rnacentral:rRNA from 1 species
GGGGACGUUUCCGGAUAUUGGGCGUAAGAGCUCGUAGGCGGUUUGUCGCGUCUGCCGUGAAAGUCCGGGGCUCAACUCCGGAUCUGCGGUGGGUACGGGCAGACUAGAGUGAUGUAGGGGAGACUGGAAUUCCUGGUGUAGCGGUGAAAUGCGCAGAUAUCAGGAGGAACACCGAUGGCGAAGGCAGGUCUCUGGGCAUUAACUGACGCUGAGGAGCGAAAGCAUGGGGAGCGAACAGGAUUAGAUACCCUGGUAGUCCGUGCCGUAAACGUUGGGCACUAGGUGUGGGGGACAUUCCACGUUUUCCGCGCCGUAGCUAACGCAUUAAGUGCCCCGCCUGGGGAGUACGGCCGCAAGGCUAAAACUCAAAGGAAUUGACGGGGGCCCGCACAAGCGGCGGAGCAUGCGGAUUAAUUCGAUGCAACGCGAAGAACCUUACCAAGGCUUGACAUGAACCGGUAAGACCUGGAAACAGGUCCCCCACUUGUGGCCGGUUUACAGGUGGUGCAUGGUUGUCGUCAGCUCGUGUCGUGAGAUGUUGGGUUAAGUCCCGCAACGAGCGCAACCCUCGUUCCAUGUUGCCAGCGCGUUAUGGCGGGGACUCAUGGGAGACUGCCGGGGUCAACUCGGAGGAAGGUGGGGACGACGUCAAAUCAUCAUGCCCCUUAUGUCUUGGGCUUCACGCAUGCUACAAUGGCCGGUACAAAGGGUUGCGAUACUGUGAGGUGGAGCUAAUCCCAAAAAGCCGGUCUCAGUUCGGAUUGGGGUCUGCAACUCGACCCCAUGAAGUCGGAGUCGCUAGUAAUCGCAGAUCAGCAACGCUGCGGUGAAUACGUUCCCGGGCCUUGUACACACCGCCCGUCAAGUCACGAAAGUUGGUAACACCCGAAGCCGGUGGCCUAACCCCUUGUGGGAGGGAGCUGUCGAAGGUGGGGACUGGCGAUUGGGACUAAGUCGUAACAAGGUAACC